rnacentral:rRNA from 1 species
UACGUAGGGGGGCAAGCGUUGUCCGGAUUUAUUGGGCGUAAAGAGCUCGUAGGUGGUUCGGUAAGUCGGAUGUGAAAUCUCCAGGCUCAACCUGGAGGGGUCAUUCGAUACUGCCGUGACUAGAGGUCGGUAGGGGAGUGUGGAAUUCCUGGUGAGCGGUGAAAUGCGCAGAUAUCAGGAGGAACACCCGUAGCGAAGGCGGCACUCGUCGGCGAUACUGACACUGAGGAGCGAAAGCGUGGGGAGCGAACAGG